rnacentral:rRNA from 1 species
GGACAGAAAGACCCUAUGAAGCUUUACUGUAGUUUGGAAUUGGGUUCGGGCUCUUCUUGCGCAGCCUAGGUGGGAGGCUAUGAAGAUAAACUUUUGGGUUUAUUGGAGCCAACAGUGAGAGACCACUCUAGAGGAGCUAGAAUUCUAAUGGCGUUCCUUGAAGCAGGACGCUUGACAGUUUCAGAUGGGCAGUUUGACUGGGGCGGUCACCUCCUAAAAGGUAACGGAGGUGUGCAAAGGUUCCCUCAGGCUGGACGGAAAUCAGCCGUAGAGUGUAAAGGCAGAAGGGAGCUUGACUGCAAGACCUACAAGUCGAGCAGGGGCGAAAGCCGGCCUUAGUGAUCCGACGGUUCCGAGUGGAAGGGCCGUCGCUAAACGGAUAAGAGUUACUCUAGGGAUAACAGGCUGA